GGUCAUGGCUCAGGACGAACGCUGGCGGCGUGCCUAACACAUGCAAGUCGAGCGGAGACAGUGAGUAGCAUGCUAUGAGCUGUUUUAGCGGCGGACGGGUGAGUAACGCGUGAGCAACCUUUCCCAGACAGGGGGAAUAACACACCGAAAGGUGUACUAAUACCGCAUAAGACCACGGGAUCACAUGGUUCUGGGGUAAAAGAAUUAUCGGUUUGGGGUGGGCUCGCGUCCGAUUAGGUAGUUGGUGAGGUAACCGG
rnacentral:rRNA from 1 species